GACGAACGCUGGCGGCGUGCCUAAUACAUGCAAGUAGAACGCUGAAGGAGGAGCUUGCUUCUCUGGAUGAGUUGCGAACGGGUGAGUAACGCGUAGGUAACCUGCCUGGUAGCGGGGGAUAACUAUUGGAAACGAUAGCUAAUACCGCAUAAUAGUAGAUGUUGCAUGACAUUUGCUUAAAAGGUGCAAUUGCAUCACUACCAGAUGGACCUGCGUUGUAUUAGCUAGUUGGUGGGGUAACGGCUCACCAAAGCGACGAUACAUAGCCGACCUGAGAGGGUGAUCGGCCACACUGGGACUGAGACACGGCCCAGACUCCUACGGGAGGCAGCAGUAGGGAAUCUUCGGGAAUGGACGGAAGUCUGACCGAGCAACGCCGAGUGAGUGAAGAAGGUUGUCGGAUCGUAAAGCUCUGUUGUAAGAGAAGAACGAGUGUGAGAGUGGAAAGUUCACACUGUGACGGUAUCUUACCAGAAAGGGACGGCUAACUACGUG
rnacentral:rRNA from 1 species